AACAAAAGAAGAAACAG
rnacentral:sRNA from 1 species